rnacentral:lncRNA from 1 species
AUGCUGCAUCUCACAAGCUUCACUUUUUGUUGUAUUUGGUCAAGUUGUCUUCAUCUUCCUCUUCUUCAUCAAGCUCUGAUUCUUCCAGCAGUUCAUCUGAUUCAGAAGAUGAGGAUAAAAAGCAAGGGAAGAAAAGAAGGAAGAAGAAGUAUCGCUCCUCACGGAAAUCUUCAGCAAGCACAACUUCAGAAUCUGAGUCAGACAGCAAGGAUAGCACAAAAAAGAAGAGGUCAAAGGAAGACUGUGAAAAAGAGAAGGACGGUAAAAAUCACCACAGGAAAAGGAAGAAAGCAGAUCGUGGUGAUGCACCUUUAUCGUCAGAAUCUGUAUCUGAAUCGGACCAGACAGAGGAGGUGCAAGCGAAAAAGAAGAAAAGCAAUGAGGAAAAAGAGAAAACAGCAAGUAUCCCUCUUACUCAUUCUGUAG